rnacentral:rRNA from 1 species
CCUACGGGGGGCAGCAGUGGGGAAUAUUGGACAAUGGGGGGAACCCUGAUCCAGCCAUGCCGCGUGUAUGAAGAAGGCCCUCGGGUUGUAAAGCACUUUCAGUGAGGAAGAACGCCUGGUGGUUAAUACCCAUCAGGAAAGACAUCACUCACAGAAGAAGCACCGGCUAACUCCGUGCCAGCAGCCGCGGUAAUACGGAGGGUGCGAGCGUUAAUCGGAAUUACUGGGCGUAAAGCGCGCGUAGGUGGCUUGAUAAGCCGGUUGUGAAAGCCCCGGGCUCAACCUGGGAACGGCAUCCGGAACUGUCAAGCUAGAGUGCAGGAGAGGAAGGUAGAAUUCCCGGUGUAGCGGUGAAAUGCGUAGAGAUCGGGAGGAAUACCAGUGGCGAAGGCGGCCUUCUGGACUGACACUGACACUGAGGUGCGAAAGCGUGGGUAGCAAACAGGAUUAGAUACCCUUGUAGUC